AUAUAUCAAUAAACACAAAUUUAUUUGAAGGUGACACCUGGUGUGACAAAUGCACACGUGAUGAAGUUGCUAUGGAUGCUGGAAGCUAACAGAAAAGUGGAGGAGAUAGGGAGGGGCUUAUCUGCCACAAUCACAUGGAUCUACUGCAAGAGCUUGAUCAGCCAUUCUGAUGUCUGCACACACUGGGAACAGAUCGGGUGUUAACAUUUCCUGGAACAAUGCUUUACCAAUGGGCAGGAAGUAGUAGACAGAGUCCCAUUCUGUCACCUGGACUGGAGUGCAAUGGCACCAUCUCAGCGCACUGC